rnacentral:tRNA from 2 species
GCGCUCGUGGCGGAAUUGGCAGACGCGUCAGGUUGAGGGCCUGGUGACCAUUGAGGUCGUGUGAGUUCAAGUCUCACCGAGCGCA